GCCACUGGGGGCUAUUCCGAGAGCCCCACCUACUCAAUGUCAUGGGCCAGCAGGGGCUGCACCGCGGCUAGGGCUGCUUGUGUCCCCCCAGCCGGGCAGCUCUCGGCCUCUCAGUGCUUUGGGGACCGGCGGAGCUCAGCGCUCGGGACGUUGCCGGUCCAAGGCCCUGCCUUUACUAGUUCUGGCUCCGACUAGUCAGUGCUAGCGGCAGCCUCACCUCCGCCAGCUCUGGAGGCAGUCAUCCCUGCUGGGGACCCACAGAAAAUGUUCGAAUUGGGCCCUGCACUUCCUAAAGCCGGCCCUGCCAACCUGGACCAUACCAUGUCCCUGAAGGACACCAGAAUCUGGUAGAUUGUGUUUGGGAUUUUCAAAAGUACAAAGUGACUUAGGAGCACAACUCCCAUUGACUUUCAAAAACGUUGCCCUAUGUAAAUAUUUCUGGUGAAAUGUUCUUAAGAACAAACGCUUCCAUCCAGUUGAAGACAAACUGUGGUUGACCCAACUGUGUAAAUGAGAAGAACUUUCACAAAUGUUAUCACAUAACAAGACCAUACACAUCCCUGAAGGAAAAAAAAUCUGAAUGUCAUUUUUUCCAGAUCCUACUGAGUUCAGUCACAAUAUCAGAACACAGCAAGUAAGAUUAAAACAAAUGAAGUUCCUCUGUGGAGCAAAAAACCAAGAUCUAUUGCUGUUGCAUCAGACUUCAGCAUUGAACACUGCUGCUCACCAGAAAUCUAUUUUACCAUCCCCAGAGCAGCUUUUUCACUAAUGGUCCAGUAGAUGGAGAGCUUGCACUUCCCCCUACUGGACGCGGCAGGGUGUGUGUACUAGAAUACAUAUCCUGCUACAGGAUUUUAAUUGGGUAGGUAGGGGGGAAAAGUGUGCAGUUCGUAACAUACUAUUUAAAUCUUAAGGCUCAUCUUCACAGGAAAAUGAACUGGUAUAGCUACUGAGGCUCCCCAUGUGGACACUAUUCCAAAAUAAAAGUGACUUUAUUCCAGCAUAAUUACUGCUCUCACAAAAUGGAAUAAUUAUUCCAGGGAAAAAAUGACUCAUUCUGGAAUAAUAUCCAUGAAGGGAGUUAUUCUGCAAUAGAUAUUCUGGGCAAUUUCCCUGUAUAGAAAAGCCCUUACACUGAUCCAGUAAAGGGAAGACAAGAUGUCCCAUCUACUAAAAUAGAAAUCUGUUUGAUAGGGUUUCUGGAAAGGGUUGAGGUUAUGCUUCCCAGAACAAUGAGGGAGUAAUAAAGGAGUUUUUGUAGGUGGCCGGCUGAGUUCCUGCUGAGUUGAUGAUUUAAAUAGUGCUAGGAUUUUAUUCUGUUGUUAAUGAUGUGUGACAGUGCCUGAAGUUUCAUACAGGCAAUGGAUUUCCCUACAUCCCCCUGAACUCCCACAUUGCCCCCAGUGGUCAAAUAGUUGCCAGUUUAGUCAUUUUCCAACAUCCCCUCCUCCCCCCAUCGAUUUGAACACCCAAUCUAAUUUCAAUUCCUGGUGAAGACUCUGGCAUCUUUUAUUAUUUGAAUCUAAAUAAAUAAAAUAGACUAGGCUCACUGGGGACAGUGAGGAGGGUUUCCGUUGGAAAAGUGUAAUGGAAAUAAGUGUCCCCUCUACAAAAAGAGCUUCCCUGUUAAAUCAGAGAAAUGUGUAAUUUCCAUUUCUUCCAAAGAGUGACAUUUUAAAAUAUAAUACAGUCCCAGCUAAAAUCUGAAUUCUGUGAGGUUGCAGCAGUAAGUUAUUAUUUUGAUUUCUGUGUACUGCAUCUUUAGAUUUCUAGGAGUCUGCUGUUUAGAGACGGCAGCUGCACUUUUAUGAAGCAGAAAAAUUUUGCAUGUUACAGAGAAGACACACACAAUGCUCUUUCAUAGAGACUUUACUUUUGUUCUUUUGUUGUUUUCCUUAACCUGAUAUAACAGUUUUCUCAGAAAAAUACGUUUUACUCAUUAGAUUGAGAGAAACAUAAGCUCCAUCUAGAUAUACAAACACACAGUAAACUUUCAAAUGAGACCAUAAAAAGCAAUGUUUGCUGGAGCCAUCAAAGAUCUCAUCAUACUUUUCAUAACCAUAGCAAAUCACCUCACCCUAUUAGCAGCCAGAGUUCCCUGCAGUGACUGAUUACCAACCUCUCAUCCUAGAGGUGCUUGCAUUUCUGUGCUAUUGUGUGUCUGUUACCUUUUGAUUCCAAAGUGUAAAUAUGCCACACUCAUUUUGGUUCAAGAUGGCCCAAUCCUCCUUUUUUAUAUUCUUGUCUCUCCUCUCUUUGCUAAAGGUAAUGAGGGACACAGUAUAAAGGAUUUGCGACAUUUAGAUGUAGUUUUCAUUCUCUGUUUCAUCCUCUAACACUGUAUUUUUUUGUGGUCAUUUCUGUCUGUUCACCCAGGGGCAGAUUAGGGUUUUGUGGGGCCUCUGGGCUAGAGCAAGUGGGGGCCUCUCCCCAUCCCUUCUGCCUGCAGUUCGCCCUCUGCCCCACUCCUGCCAUGGAAAUGGGGUCGGGAUGUGGGAGCUUGCCCUGCUCCACCCGCCCAUUGGUCACUGUGCCCACCUUAGGCGUGGUCUACACGAUUUACUUCAGUAUAAUUAUGUUACUCAAGGUCUGAAAAAUCCACUGCCUUCAGCGACGUAGUUAUAUUGACCUUAAUCCCUCUUGUAGACAGUGCUAUGUCGGCGGGAGAGUGUCUUCUGCCGAGAUAGCUACCGCCUCUCGGGAAGGUGGAUUUAUUAAACCGACGGGAGAGCUGCACCGAUGUACAUUGGUAGUGUAGCGCUUCCCUGAGAUCUUCAGUAAAUUCCAAUCCGUGACUGAGAAAUGUUGGGUUCUCUCUGCUUGAGAUGUAUCAAUGAAUUCCUGUAGAUGAAAUGUCCUCCGUCAUUGUUAGCACUUGCACUAAUCAAGCAGACUGUGUAAAUAAUGAGCUUGUCAACAAUGUUCAGGUUAAUGAACCGGCACUUUACAAGACACAGCUGAAGUUAAAUGCAUCAGAUUAGUAGUAAUGGAGAAUGAUUUCAGCAGUUCUGAGUUGAUGGUUUCUGCAGCUUCUGGAGGGGUGGUUUUCCUACUCCCUAGUGCUAGACAGACCUCACAAUGACUUAAGUAGUUAGACGUUUCUAAGCAUUUUCAAAUUGCUUUCAUGUUACCCUUGAAUGUAAAUUGAACAGUGACUGUACUACAGCAGUUAGCAUUAACACCUCUUUGGUUUUGCCUUUAAUAAGCAAAUCCAGUAAUAACCCCUACAAAAUGGGUGUGUUUCAUAAAAGUAAGGCCCAGAUUUGUAAAGGUAUGUAGGCCUUUCUGUAUGCAGUGUUGCACUGCUUUAGUGAUUUUGGAACCUACAUAUUUUCAAAAGGGAUCUAGGCACUUAGGAGUCUAAAUCACUUCAGAUCCUAGAUCCCUUUUGAAAAUAUUUAGGUUUCUAAAUCAGUUAUGUGUUGUUAUACCGAGUGCAAUUCCUAAAUACCUUUAAAAAUCUGUGCUUAAAUAUGAUUUUAAAAAAUAGCAAUUAAGAUAAUUUUCUUCUUUUUAAACUAUUUUUCAGGAGAUUAAACCUGAGUUUUAUUCGUCAGUGGAUUUACAUGCUACGAGUUGCCGCAGUUUUGACAUUUCACUAGUAGAGUCAUAGAAAAAUCUAUAUUAAGCCCCGCGCUCCUGCCAUCUCUGAGAAGCAUGGAUCCUGCACAGCUCUGUGCUAUUGUGAUGAGCAUUGCGAGCACAGGACAAUAUUUGCGGAGCUGCCAGAGGAGCCAUAGGGAACAUGAUUCUUUGGAGGCUAGAUUGCUGUGGGACAGAUCAAAACAAUUCAAGGUUGUUGUUGGCAUUCACAGAGCAGCUGCAGACAGUGGAGUGCCAGUUCUGGGUGUGAGAAACAAGCACUGACUGGUGAGAUUGCAUUGUUAUGCAGGUUUGCAAUGAUGAGCAGUGGCUGCAGAACUUUCGAAUGCGCAAGGCCACAUUCCUGGAUCUGUGUGCAGAGCUCACUCCAGCCCUCCAGUGCAACGACACCAGAAUGAGAUCUGCACUGACAGUGGAGAAGUAAGCGGUGAACGCUGUGUGGAUGCUUGCAACAGCAGAUUGCUACCGAUCAGUCGGGAAUCAAUGUGGAGUUGGGAAAUCUAGAGUGGGGGUUGCUGUGAUGCAAAUGUGCAGGGCCAUUAAUUACAUUCUACUAUGAAGGACUGUGACUGGGCAACAUGCAGGACACAGUGCAUGGUUUUGCAGCAAUGGGGCACCUGAAUUGCAGUGGGGUGAUAGAUGGCAUGCACGCAUCUCCCUAUUUUGACACCAGACCACCUUGCCUCAGAAUACAUCACCAGAAAGGGCUACUUUUCUAUGGUAUUGCAAGCACUGGUGGAUCACUGGAGACAUUUUACCAACAUCAAUGUUGGCUGGUCAAGGAAGGUGUAUGAUGUUCACAUCUUUAAGAACACAGGCCUGUUCAGAAAGCUGCAAUCGGGGAGUUUUUUCAAGACCAGAGGAUUACUAUUGGGGAUGUUGAAAUGCCAAUAGUGAUCCUAGGAGACCCAGCCUACCCUUUACUCCCAUGGCUGAUGAAGCCGUACACAGGCCACCUCAACAGCAGCAAGGAGCACUUCAACUAGAGGCUCAGUAGGUGCAGAAUACCGUUACCACCUUGGAGCUCUGGUCCCCCCCAACCAAUGUCCCAUUUCCAGUCAUGGCCAUUCCUGAUGCUUCAGAGGAAGGAAAUUAAAAAAAAUCUCCCAAAACAUAUUGAGGGACCGGGAGGGAACGGAAUCUCUUCCUGACCCUGGCCGGCUAAAACCCUGAAGUAUGAACUUUAGAAACAUAAGACAAACUCAUGGGUGGCAGGUAUCAAAGGCAGAGGAAGGCUCAGCCUACCCAAACUGCCGGUGUGGCCGCACCUGUACUUCACCCCCAGACCUCCUCCUGCUUCCUGCCAGGGGCCUGCGGCUUUUUUUCCCCAUGUGGCCGAGCCCUGGGCCAGUGGCACCUGAACUGUGGGGGAGGGGGGCCAUAGCCCUCCCACUUCUUGAAAGUGGACUGGCCUGACCCGCCCAGUUUUCACCAGGACAGACCCCACCCCUUACCCUCUGUCCAGGCCAGAGUGGAGCCCGGGCAGCUGUGGGGAACCACAGUGGACCCUCCAUGUGCCUGGGGGGCUAAGAGCAGCCCCCAGCCCAUGUCUCUGCCCCCCCAAAGCUCCCCACCCACCCAGGGCAGGUGUGGGUUCCGCAACUUCAUACCGGCUCCCCACAGCUGCCUGCGCAGCUCUUUCCGAGCCGAUUCCGGCUGGGGUGGGGCCUCGGAGUUGCAGCUUGGCCAUGGUAAGAGCUGCACGGGCAGGUGUGAGGCGCCACGGAGUUGCGGACCCUGCAUCUGCCCCAGGUGGGGGAAGGAAGGGGCAGGACCCCAGGCAGAAUGGGCGAGCUAGCCAGGGGCUAACCUACGUAGGCCUGUCGGUCACCCACCGCCCAUAGACAAACUGGAGAAGAGCCCAGGGGGUGUUGGGCCCUGCCCCCUACCAUCACAAGUAAUCCCAUUAUACAGUGCACUCAAAUUUGUCCAGCUCUCUUUUGCAACUAAUUAAGGUGUUUGUCCCCACAGAUGCUGUUCCAGAACCUCACCCCUCUGAUGGUUAGAAACCUUCUUCUAAUUUCCAACCUGAAUUUGUUCAUGGCCAGUUUAUAUCCAUAUGUUCUUAUACCAAUAUUGUUGUUUAGCUUAAGUAGCUCUUCAUCCUCCCUGGUAUUUUCUUCCUUUCCCCCCCACAAUCUAGAGAGAGCAAUUAUAUCUCCUCUCAGCCUUCUUUUUGCUAGACUAAACAAGCCAAGCUCGUCCUGUCAUUUCUCAUCAAAUAGGCCCUCUAGUCUCCUGAUUAUCCUAGUAGCUCUUCUCCGUACCUGUUCCAGUUUAAAUGAAUUUUUCUUAAAUACCCUUAGAUCUUUGUCCACCCCGUGCUUUGCUGCACAUUGAGCUACCCACAUUUGCCAUCCUUGAUAGUCAACUACCCUUCUCUCCAAAUCUUCCCAUUUCAAGUUGAGGUGCUUGAUGUUGUUCAGAACUGUUCGUUUCCAUGUUGAUUGCAGUCUUCCUCUCUUUCUUCUUGCGUUUUCUGGCUUCCAUUCAAGGGCGGUAUUUGGUAAGCAUUCUUUUUCCAUUCUCAGCACAUAUCCCAGCCGCUGAUGUCUUCUUUUCUAGAUUAUUUGUGAGAGGGUGCCUUGUCCAGUCAUUUUUCUGACUUCUUCAUUUGUCUUCCUGUCUAUAUAUUAUUCCCAAUAUUCUUCAGACAUUUGUGAUGAAAUGCAUCCAGCUUUUGUAUCUCUUUCUUGGUAAGUUGCCAUGUCUCACUGCUAUAUGUUGUGAUUGCGAUAACAAUUGCUUUGUACACAUUCAGUUUUGUGUUGAGGGAGAUGUUUUUGAGUUGCCAGAUGUUUUUGAGUCUUCCAAAUGCAGCCUUUGCCUUCCCAAUUCUUUUUAUUUCCUCGGAACUAGUGCCAUCUUGGCUCAUGGUACUUCCAAGAUACGUAAAAUUGUCCACCUUCUCGAGUUUCUCUUCAAUUUUGAUUUCUGUCCCUAUAAUCCCAAUUAACAUAACUUUACAUUGUAUCUCAAAUCUAUCUUCUCCAUUACUUCUUUUAGUUGGUUUGUGCAUUUUUGUAGUCCGUUGGCAUCUUCACUGAUAAGAGCGAUGUCGUCAGCAAAGUCCAGAUCAAAUAGCCUUGAAUCAUUCCAUUUUAGGCCAUUUGUAUCACUGUUGCAUUGUUUUAACUCAUAGUCGAUGACUAGCGUAAACAAAAAGGGAGACAGGACACACCCUUGCCUUACACCUGUCUUGAUGCUGAAUGGCUUACUCAAUCCAUUUUCCAUUUUAAUGCAGCAUUUUGAGUUGGUGUAGAAUGUUUCUUAAACAUAGGUAACUGGAAUUGUACACAGUAUUCCAAAUGAGGUCUUAUCAGUGCUUUGUACAACAGCAUUUAUACUUCUCUCUCUCUAUUGGAAAUGCCUCACCUAAUAUAUCCUAGGAUCGCAUAUGCCUUUUUUACAGGUAGCUCAGUCAUCCUGUGAUCAGCUCACAUGCCCAGUAUCUCUCUCCUCCUCUGUCAUUUCCAACUGAUGAGCCCCCAGUUUGCAGUAGAAAUUUUUACUAUUAGACCCUAAGUUCAUGGCCUUGUACUUUGUACUAUUGAAUUUCAUCCCAUUUCUGUCACUCAUUUUCAGGGUCAUCCAGAUCUUCUUGUGUAAUACUCCAAGCUUCCUCCGUAUUGACAAUUUCUCCCAACUUUGUAUCAGCAGCAGAUUUCAUUAGUACACUCCUACUUUUUGUGCCAAAGUCACUAAAAAAAUAUUAAACAAGCUUUCCCCCCCCAAGAUUGAUCCUUGAAGAACUCCACUAGUAACCUCCUUCCAGUCCGAUAAUUCACCUUUCAGCAUAACUGAUUGCCUUCUCUCCUUUAGCCUGUUCCUUAUCCAUCUUACAAU